rnacentral:rRNA from 1 species
UACGUAGGGUGCGAGCGUUGUCCGGAAUUAUUGGGCGUAAAGAGCUUGUAGGUGGUUUGUCGCGUCUGCUGUGAAAAUCCGAGGCUCAACCUCGGACUUGCAGUGGGUACGGGCAGACUAGAGUGUGGUAGGGGAGACUGGAAUUCCUGGUGUAGCGGUGGAAUGCGUAGAUAUCUGGAGGAACACCGGUGGCGAAGGCGGCGUUCUGGACUGCAACUGACACGUGAUGAAACGAAAGCCCAGGGGAGCAAACGGG